rnacentral:sRNA from 1 species
AUAAUGGGAUUUUCACAGCUGAAGAAGGCAGAGCCCCUCUUCACCAGCCCCUGCUUCCUGCCUUCAGGAAAAGGCAUUUGUGAAUGAUUCUACAUGACAGCAACAUGUGCUUGACUUGAGGCAUAAAUAAAUUUACUAAGAAGCUUCGAAAUCCCUAUUCCAUCGACAAUAAUGAGCUACUAGACUUCCUCUCUAGGGUACCGUCUGAUGUUCAAAAGGUGCAGUAUGCAGAAUUGAAACUCUGCAGCAGCCACAGCCCCCUGCGGAAGAAGCGCAGCGCUCUCUAGGGCACACACCGACUUUGGACAGCAGCACCCAAUAUUGUGUUUGGUUGAGUAGACCAAUGUUAUGGCUGUUUCAGUGGUACCCAAGGUGUCCUUCUGAAAUGCAUGCCCUGUGGCACCCUCUGUAUACUUCCUCCUCCUUCACGUGCACAGACAUACACACAUGUGCACACACCCUCAUGCAUGGGUGUCCUAGUUGCGUAGAGGGUCAGCCCAGCAAAAAGCAACAAUCCCAAGACUGUGAAAGACUAACAUCCAUUCUGAAAUAGGAGAUAACGAGGCUGCCAUGGAUCUGAGCACCACCUUCCUUGAGAACAGCCAGGAGCCCACUUGGAUUCAAGAGUGACUUUGAACUUGUUUUCACACCUCCAACAGACUCUCAUUAAGAUUCAGUUAUUUCCGCUCCCCAGCCCCACACUCCUUUCAGAUUAUCGUUCAUGGGCGUAAGUCUUUUCUCAGAGUUAACAAGUCUUUGGUAGUCAUCCUCUGUCCAAAUAUUGUAUAUUAUUAAAAGGCAUUUUUAAUAAUUACCAGAAUUAGCUCAAACCUUUA